UACGGGGGGGGCAAGCGUUGUUCGGAAUUACUGGGCGUAAAGGGCUCGUAGGCGGCCAACUAAGUCAGACGUGAAAUCCCUCGGCUUAACCGGGGAACUGCAUCUGAUACUGGAUGGCUUGAGUUCGGGAGAGGGAUGCGGAAUUCCAGGUGUAGCGGUGAAAUGCGUAGAUAUCAGAAGGAACAUCAGUGGCGAAGGCGGCUUCCUGGACCAAUACUGACGAUCAGGUGCGAAAGCGUGGGGAGCAAACAGG
rnacentral:rRNA from 1 species